CAGUGCAAUAGCAUUGUCAAAGCCU
rnacentral:miRNA from 1 species